GGUUAAGCGACUAAGCGUACACGGUGGAUGCCCUGGCAGUCAGAGGCGAUGAAGGACGUGCUAAUCUGCGAAAAGCGUCGGUAAGGUGAUAUGAACCGUUAUAACCGGCGAUGUCCGAAUGGGGAAACCCAGUGCAAUUCGUUGCACUAUCGUUAACUGAAUACAUAGGUUAACGAGGCGAACCGGGGGAACUGAAACAUCUAAGUACCCCGAGGAAAAGAAAUCAACCGAGAUUCCCCCAGUAGCGGCGAGCGAACGGGGAGCAGCCCAGAGUCUGAAUCAGCUUGUGUGUUAGUGGAACGGUCUGGAAAGUCCGACGGUACAGGGUGAUAGUCCCGUACACCAAAAUGCACAGGCUGUGAACUCGAAGAGUAGGGCGGGACACGUGGUAUCCUGUCUGAAUAUGGGGGGACCAUCCUCCAAGGCUAAAUACUCCUGACUGACCGAUAGUGAACCAGUACCGUGAGGGAAAGGCGAAAAGAACCCCGGCGAGGGGAGUGAAAAAGAACCUGAAACCGUGUACGUACAAGCAGUGGGAGCACCUUCGGGUGUGACUGCGUACCUUUUGUAUAAUGGGUCAGCGACUUAUAUUCUGUAGCAAGGUUAACCGUAUAGGGGAGCCGCAGGGAAACCGAGUCUUAACUGGGCGUUAAGUUGCAGGGUAUAGACCCGAAACCCGGUGAUCUAGCCAUGGGCAGGUUGAAGGUUGGGUAACACUAACUGGAGGACCGAACCGACUAAUGUUGAAAAAUUAGCGGAUGACUUGUGGCUGGGGGUGAAAGGCCAAUCAAACCGGGAGAUAGCUGGUUCUCCCCGAAAGCUAUUUAGGUAGCGCCUCGUGAACUCAUCUUCGGGGGUAGAGCACUGUUUCGGCUAGGGGGUCAUCCCGACUUACCAACCCGAUGCAAACUACGAAUACCGAAGAAUGUUAUCACGGGAGACACACGGCGGGUGCUAACGUCCGUCGUGAAGAGGGAAACAACCCAGACCGCCAGCUAAGGUCCCAAAGUCAUGGUUAAGUGGGAAACGAUGUGGGAAGGCACAGACAGCCAGGAUGUUGGCUUAGAAGCAGCCAUCAUUUAAAGAAAGCGUAAUAGCUCACUGGUCGAGUCGGCCUGCGCGGAAGAUGUAACGGGGCUAAACCAUGCACCGAAGCUGCGGCAGCGACACUAUGUGUUGUUGGGUAGGGGAGCGUUCUGUAAGCCUGCGAAGGUGUGCUGUGAGGC
rnacentral:rRNA from 1 species